rnacentral:lncRNA from 1 species
UGUGCCUGAUGUUCAUAUGAUGAAAUCAUAAUCUUUUAGUCAGUUUAAUUGAAGUCUGGAGCUGGCAUGUCAGUUAACUGCUAGUAGUCUGUUGUUAUUUAUGUAUUAUUGUCAUUUUGUUUAUUUUCUUUGGUUACAUCUUCUGACAUCAGACUCGGACUUCUCUUGAACUGAAUUUUAAUGUGCGUAUUGUUAUGCGUUUACUUUUCUACAUUGGUUAGAGGUAUAGGGGGAGGGUUGAGAUCUCACAAACAUGUUUAACCCCGCCGCAUUUUUGCGCCUGUCCCAAGUCAGGAGACUCUGGCCUUUGUUAGUCUUGUAUUAUUUUAAUUUUAGUUUCUUGUGUACAAUUUGGAAAUUAGUAUGGCGUUCAUUAUCACUGGACUAGUAUAUAUUUGUUUAGGGGCCAGCUGAAGGACGCCUCCGGGUGCGGUAAUUUCUCGCUACAUUGAAGACCUGUUGGUGACCCUCUGCUGUUGUUUUUUAUUUGGUCGGGUUGUUGUCUCUUUGACACAUUCCCCAUUUCCAUUCUAAAUUUUAU